CAGCCACACCGAGGUGGGCGGGCGGGCCGCGGCUGGUAAGGGAGAUGCAAAAAGAAGAAAUUCUAUCAGAGAGAACGGAACAGAUUGCUUCUCUCUUGAUCUUAGCUGGUCAGAGGAUAGUGCGACUUUUUCUUCCAGUCGAUAUCUUGUGAGAUUUGGCCUUUUCUUCCGUUGUUACUGUCUCCUUCCUAGAGGGACUCCCCUUCCUGUUCAUUCUCCUCCUCCGUGAAAUAGAACUGUGUGUGUGCAUGGGGAAGGAGUUCAUGCCCUGCUUGACAGAAAAAAUGAGGGACCCCAGCAAAGGGAACACAUUUCUUUAAAGGAAUCUGGAAAAGUAUUCCAGAAGUAUGGCUAAUCCUUCGAGUGGCAGAGGACCUGACCUGAAGUACAGGGACAAGGGAAUGAGCACAUGAAGAGAUCAAAGAGUUUUGUGACUUUGGGCACAAAGUUGCAUCUUGGUAAUGAAGUGAGGGAGGAAAAUGAACGUCUAAACCUAUGCUAAUGCUAUAAGAUCAUUCUAUCAAGUGUCUGAAGGUGAAUCAACAGUCUCACAACCAUUGAGUACAGAAACUGAAUGUUAAGGAUGGAGAAGUUGGAGGUGAAAAGGAGAUUGAGUUCUUUUUUUUUUUUAAGUAGCUAGAGCUGCUAUUAUCUAUUUAUGGACUUCAUGUUAUACAAGAAAAAACGUCUAUUUGCUGAAGCCACUGAGGUCAACCUUCUUUUAUACGCAGCUGAACACAACACCAACUGAGGGUCUACAUCUUUGACCCUUUUUGAUCUUUGGUCUGUGAUUACAGCAGAAAUAGCCCUCUUCCCACAGAAUUUAUGUUAAUUUAGAUCUUUUUUCCAUGUUCCAUGGGACCAACAAGGAGAUAGAACCAUUUUAGCAAUUUGAACAAAGAAAAUGUAAUGUAAAGAUUGUUAACCAAUAAAAGGUAUCCACUAAGAAGAAUAGAGUGGUUUCUAAGAGGUGCAGAAGUAGCAACUGUCAGAAGAGCUACUACCCUUGGCUAAAGAUGAGUGAACAGAAAGGAAGAACUUAGAAAUUUAAAGAAGAGGGCAUGGCUGUCACAGGAAUGUAUAGUCCCCCUGUGGUGAAGGAACUUGCUGGAGGCACCAGCCACAAGUGAACAAGGAAGACUGCUGAGGUCCACAAAACAAGGCCCCUCUUGGGAACCAAUCCAUGGGCUCCACACAGGAAGAAAGAAAAGUCAUUUCCUCCAGCUCUGGCCUCACAGGGUCUUUCCAUCACCCUCUUCUGGCAAAGCCCAACAUUUUGCCAGUUGUCAAAGCAGAAAUGCUUGCAGAGUCUAGCUCUAGAAACAACAAAGCAAAAGGAUGGAUUUAUAGCUGAGAAGUCAUAAGUUAAUAAAUGGCACAGAUGGUAAGAUUCUCAAGGGCAAGGGUUAGGUCUAAUUCACAUUUAGAUCUUCUACAGCACCUAACAGAGUGUUAAACAUAGUAGUCACUCAAUACAUUUUUGCUCAAUAAUAUAUAAGGGGCUCAGUAUAUACAAAAUAAUUUGCAAUAAUUUUUUUGUUCUCUUCUUUUGACUAAGAUAUAAUCUCUUUGGCUCUUCGGACAAAUUAGAAUGACCUCUAGAAUGCAUUUUUCUUUCGAGUAUUGCAAAAUUCAAACUAAGAGAAAAUGAGGAACAUUUUUUGGUUUGUGACAUGAGUUUGUUCAAACACAUUUGUGUGCUUAUGAAGGAUCCUGGGUUUAUACCCUCAUGUGCUUAACGAAUUCAUUGAAAAACCAAAACAUUAGGGCCCUCUUUUGAUCCAUUCUCUGAGACAACAUAAUUUUUGCAGGAAUGGUUCAUCAACUGGAGCAGCCCCAAGUUGGAGCUGUGAGGGAGGCAAUGUCUGCAGUUCUCCUUUCACUUCUUUUUUCAAGGCCUUUGGUCCAUCCUGAGCCACUUGCUCUUUCUGUAGGUACCUGGUAUCUUCAUGGUGACUACUGACCCUGCAAGUUUCCCCACGGUGCACCUACUGAAGCCAUCUCUCUCCCAGCAGAGUCCAGCUUCUGAACUGUUACCUAUUCACAACCUAAUGCGGAAGGAGCUGACCAGAAAAUCCUCAGCGUGCACAUCAAAGUGUACCCACUUGGGGGCACCCACAAUGCAGCAUUUCUGCCUGUUUUCCUGCCCAGAAGCUUCAAGCCCUGCAGAGCUUGGAGUUGAGCCAGCUGAUGAAUUUCGUCUGCUCUCCAGGACUCAGCCAGCCAGAUCUGAUGUCUCAAGAAAUAGCCUUCUUUAUCUCCAAGUCUGGAGAUAUCUUACUUACCAUGUUGCCUGCAUAAUAAACGAUUAUGUGCUAUGGAAAACAUUAAUAAUUAGGGUACUUGCUAUAGGCCAAAUGUACCAGAUAGGUUAAUAAGAUUUAAUAACCAAGAACUAAAAAUAAUUUGCUGACUAAAAAUGAUAUAUUUGGGGCACAUGGGUGGCUCAGCGGGUUAAGCCUCUGUCUUGGGCUCAGGUCAUGAUCUC